AAGUCGUAACAAGGUUUCCGUAGGUGAACCUGCGGAAGGAUCAUUAACACUAAUGAAAUCCAAAACCUUUUGGAUCAACCCAACCUUAGCGAACCGUUCGUUUUUUCCCUUUGCCCAUUUUAUUUAAACGCAAAACAAAUCUGAUGUAAAGUGUCUGAUUCUUAUUCUCGUCUUUCCCGAAAGGGUAAAGCUGGAAUCAAAAUCUAACGCAAUACAACUCUUAACAACGGAUAUCUUGGCUCUC
rnacentral:misc_RNA from 1 species